rnacentral:rRNA from 1 species
UAGGGAAUAUUCCGCAAUGGGCGAAAGCCUGACGGAGCAACGCCGCGUGAGUGAAGAAGGUCUUCGGAUCGUAAAGCUCUGUCAACAGGGACGAAACCAGACGGUACCUGAGAAGGAAGCCACGGCAAACUACGUGCCAGCAGCCGCGGUAAUACGCAGGUGGCAAGCGUUGUCCGGAAUAACUGGGCGUAAAGCGAAUGUAGACGGCAUGAUAAGCCAAAUGUGAAAUGUAGGGGCUCAACCCCUACACUGCGAUUGGAACUGUCAAGCUUGAGUGCAGGAGAGGCAAAUGGAAUUCCCAGUGUAGCAGUGAAAUGCGUAGAGAUUGGGAGGAACACCAGUGGCGAAGGCGAUUUGCUGGACUGCAACUGACGUUGAGAUGCGAAAGCCAGGGGAGCAAACG